rnacentral:rRNA from 1 species
UACAGAGGGGGCAAGCGUUAUUCGGAAUUAUUGGGCGUAAAGGGCGCGUAGGCGGCUUGGCAAGUGGAUGGUGAAAUCCCUCGGCUUAACCGAGGAACUGCCGUCCAAACUGCUUUGCUUGAGGCCGGGAGAGGUGAGUGGAAUUCCCAGUGUAGCGGUGAAAUGCGUAGAUAUUGGGAGGAACACCAGUGGCGAAGGCGGCUCACUGGACCGGUACUGACGCUGAUGUGCGAAAGCUAGGGGAGCAAACAGG